CCUACGGGAGGCAGCAGUGGGGAAUAUUGGACAAUGGGGGCAACCCUGAUCCAGCCAUGCCGCGUGUGUGAAGAAGGCCCUCGGGUUGUAAAGCACUUUCAGUGAGGAAGAACGCCUGGUGGUUAAUACCCAUCAGGAAAGACAUCACUCACAGAAGAAGCACCGGCUAACUCCGUGCCAGCAGCCGCGGUAAUACGGAGGGUGCGAGCGUUAAUCGGAAUUACUGGGCGUAAAGCGCGCGUAGGAGGCUUGAUAAGCCGGUUGUGAAAGCCCCGGGCUCAACCUGGGAACGGCAUCCGGAACUGUCAAGCUAGAGUGCAGGAGAGGAAGGUAGAAUUCCCGGUGUAGCGGUGAAAUGCGUAGAGAUCGGGAGGAAUACCAGUGGCGAAGGCGGCCUUCUGGACUGACACUGACACUGAGGUGCGAAAGCGUGGGUAGCAAACAGGAUUAGAUACCCGAGUAGUC
rnacentral:rRNA from 1 species